rnacentral:rRNA from 1 species
GACGAACGCUGGCGGCGUGCUUAACACAUGCAAGUCGAACGGAAAGGCCCUGCUUUUGUGGGGUGCUCGAGUGGCGAACGGGUGAGUAACACGUGAGUAACCUGCCCUUGACUUUGGGAUAACUUCAGGAAACUGGGGCUAAUACCGGAUAGGAGCUCCUGCUGCAUGGUGGGGGUUGGAAAUUUUCGGCGGUUGGGGAUGGACUCGCGGCUUAUCAGCUUGUUGGUGGGGUAGUGGCUUACCAAGGCUUUGGCGGGUAGCCGGCCUGGGAGGGUGACCGGCCACAUUGGGACUGAGAUACGGCCCAGACUCCUACGGGAGGCAGCAGUGGGGAAUAUUGCACAAUGGGCGGAAGCCUGAUGCAGCAACGCCGCGUGCGGGAUGACGGCCUUCGGGUUGUAAACCGCUUUCGCCUGUGACGAAGCGUGAGUGACGGUAAUGGGUAAAGAAGCACCGGCUAACUACGUG